rnacentral:lncRNA from 1 species
AGGGACUCAGGGUUUUUUUCUUAGAAUUUGAAAGGUCACAUUUCUCUUCUCCAUCCUCUCUUAGUAUCUGAUGCCGUGGUGAUGGACACGCCCCAUUCAGAAGAAAGGAUGCUCUUACAGUGGAGUUGAGCAUCAAGAGCCCAAGCACAGUUCCAGCUACAGCUUCAGUGAGUACGACAGGUGGCAUCAGGGAGGAGUGCCCUGGGUCCUGACCACAGCUUUUGGGACCUGCUCACCAUCAUGCAGCAACUCUACAAUCUGCCGACUGAGGUCACUAUCUGUUUUAGCCGUCAGACCUCGGGGGACCACUGCCAAAUGAAACCAGCUAGAACCACAGCCCCCAAACCCAGGACAGUCUGUCCAUGUUCCCCAUUCAUUUCUAAAGCGUUUUAAAUUUGACCAAGACCACAGAGACGUUCACCAACUCCAUUUCCUUUUCUGGGCACACAGGAGGCAUUUCUCAGCCUCCCCUGCAACCUGAGAGAUCUUUCUUGUUCUCUCUGCUUCCAUGGCUACGAGAAGGCCAGUGCUGAAGAUCUUGGUGUCACAAGAUGGAAGGAGCCUGGAUCCCUGAGUUACUCCUUGGAGGGGAGCAGCCAAGCAGAGUUGCCCACUUGGUCUGGACUGUGAUGUGAGUAGAAAAUGAAACUUCCGUUUUGUUGAUACCACUCAGAUUGGGAGUUGUUUGUUGCGGCAAUUGCUGUUGGUUUUCUUUGUUGAUGCAUUUGUACUACACGGCUAAAUUAGAUAAAAAUAACUAAAUUUGGGAAAAGGAACACGUUGAGUUGAAAAAUUACUUUCUAUAGAGCAAUAAAAAUGAAUGAAAUACAGUCA